UUCGUAUGAACAGGCGGGAGAGAUAAGAGCUUAAAAGUCUUUGGGGGUGAAUCGCGAUAAUCGCGGGCUGGCUUGUAUUUAAGCGGAUGAUUUUUGGAAGCCUCAGAUCAAUAGUGACUUAACUUGCAAGUGUGUCGAAAGCAUCGGACUCUUUUGAAAUGGAUCGCAUCGGAAUUUUGGGAAUCGCCCUUCUUUUAAUUGGCAUAGUUCACAGUUAUCCCGCAAAUUCAAACCCACCUGGGGAACUUAUUCAACGGCCUCCGACAUCGCAGCAGUUGAGGGCAUGCAUCGCGUCCUGUUCUACGACCUCCGAGAACAAUCCGGUUUGUGGCACUAACAACCAAAGCUAUUCCAAUGAGAACAAAUUGAUCUGCGCCUCGUACUGUGGUUUAAAUAUCGGAAUUGCAUACCAUGGAAACUGUCGAAAAGCGCCUAGAGCAUCAAUACAAUAGUAGCAACGAAUAUCUUUUUCCACUAUCAAUAUAAUUAAUACGUUUUUAAAUUGUUUACUUUUUACACUAAAUAAUUAUUAACACUAUUAAAGUAAUUCAUGUUUAAA